rnacentral:rRNA from 1 species
UACGAAGGGGGCUAGCGUUGCUCGGAAUUACUGGGCGUAAAGGGCGCGUAGGCGGCCUUCUAAGUCGAACGUGAAAUCCCUGGGCUCAACCCAGGAACUGCGUCCGAUACUGGAAGGCUUGAAUCCGGGAGAGGGAUGCGGAAUUCCAGGUGUAGCGGUGAAAUGCGUAGAUAUCUGGAGGAACACCGGUGGCGAAGGCGGCAUCCUGGACCGGCAUUGACGCUGAGGAGCGAAAGCCAGGGGAGCAAACGGG